rnacentral:rRNA from 1 species
UGGGGAAUAUUGGGCAAUGGGGGAAACCCUGACCCAGCAACGCCGCGUGAGGGAAGAAGGUCUUCGGAUUGUAAACCUUUGUCCUAUGGGACGAAAGAAAUGACGGUACCAUAGGAGGAAGCUCCGGCUAACUACGUGCCAGCAGCCGCGGUAAUACGUAGGGAGCAAGCGUUGUCCGGAAUUACUGGGCGUAAAGGGUGCGUAGGUGGUCAUGUAAGUCAGAUGUGAAAGACCGGGGCUUAACCCCGGGGUUGCAUUUGAAACUGUGUGACUUGAGUACAGGAGAGGGAAGUGGAAUUCCUAGUGUAGCGGUGAAAUGCGUAGAUAUUAGGAGGAACACCAGUGGCGAAGGCGACUUUCUGGACUGUAACUGACACUGAGGCACGAAAGCGUGGGGAGCAAACAGG